rfam:Mesorhizobium sp. LC103 LC103_contig16, whole genome shotgun sequence.
AUGUCCGACGCCAAGCUGCCCGAUAUCCAGUCCGGCUACGAGAAGGGCGUCACCAACGUGAUGGCCGGCCUUUCCGGGCUCAAUCUCGUCUACGAAUCGG